rnacentral:rRNA from 1 species
GUUAAGCGACUAAGCGUACACGGUGGAUGCCCUGGCAGUCAGAGGCGAUGAAGGGCGUGCUAAUCUGCGAUAAGCGCCGGUAAGGUGAUAUGAACCGUUAUAACCGGCGAUACCCGAAUGGGGAAACCCAGUGUGACUCGUCACACUAUCAUUAACUGAAUCCAUAGGUUAAUGAGGCGAACCGGGGGAACUGAAACAUCUAAGUACCCCGAGGAAAAGAAAUCAACCGAGAUUCCCCCAGUAGCGGCGAGCGAACGGGGAGGAGCCCAGAGCCUGAAUCAGCAUGUGUGUUAGUGGAAGCGUCUGGAAAGGCGCGCGAUACAGGGUGACAGCCCCGUACACAAAAGC